UUUAGUGUAAUAACCUCUAGAAAUUAAUACUCUACAAAUUAAUAGUUCGAUAAAUUAAUAUUUUCGGUCCUAAAUUAGAUUUUUGGCUCAAUUUUUUUUAUCAAUAAAUUCAGGGACGGAUCUAUGUACAGGAAAGGUAGGGAACGUGCCCCAGACAAAUUUAUUAAUUUGAU
rnacentral:sRNA from 1 species